rnacentral:rRNA from 1 species
AUUGAACGCUGGCGGCAGGCCUAACACAUGCAAGUCGAGCGGUAACACAGGGAGCUUGCUCCCGGGUGACGAGCGGCGGACGGGUGAGUAAUGUCUGGGAAACUGCCUGAUGGAGGGGGAUAACUACUGGAAACGGUAGCUAAUACCGCAUAACGUCGCAAGACCAACGAGGGGGACCUUCGGGCCUCUUGCCCUCAGAUGUGCCCAGAUGGGAUUAGCUAGUAGGUGGGGUAACGGCUCACCUAGGCGACGAUCCCUAGCUGGUCUGAGAGGAUGACCAGCCACACUGGAACUGAGACACGGUCCAGACUCCUACGGGAGGCAGCAGUGGGGAAUAUUGCACAAUGGGCGCAAGCCUGAUGCAGCCAUGCCGCGUGUAUGAAGAAGGCCUUCGGGUUGUAAAGUACUUUCAGCGGGGAGGAAGGUGUUGAGGUUAAUAACCUCAGCAAUUGACGUUACCCGCAGAAGAAGCACCGGCUAACUCCGUGCCAGCCGCCGCAGUAAAAC